rnacentral:rRNA from 1 species
AUAUUGGUCAAUGGGCGGAAGCCUGAACCAGCCAUGCCGCGUGCGGGAAGGAGGCCCUAUGGGCUGUGAACCGCUUUUGCCUGGGGGCAAUAAGGGCGUCGCGCACGUCCGAUGAGAGUACCAGGCGAAUAAGCAUCGGCUAACUCCGUGCCAGCAGCCGCGGUAAUACGGGGGAUGCGAGCGUUAUCCGGAUUCAUUGGGUUUAAAGGGUGCGUAGGCUGUGCGUCAAGUCGGGGGUGAAAUUCCGGUGCUCAACACCGGGGCUGCCCUUGAUACUGUCGCGCUGGAGUGCGGAUGCCGCCGGAGGAAUGAGUGGUGUAGCGGUGAAAUGCUUAGAUAUCACUCAGAACACCGAUUGCGAAGGCAUCUGGCGAAUCCGUAACUGACGCUGAGGCACGAAAGCGUGGGGAUAGAACAGGAUUAGAUACCCUGGUAUUCCACGCCGUAAACGAUGAUGGCUAACCGCCGGCGACACACUGUCGGUGGCCAAGCGAAAGCGAUAAGCCAUCCACCUGGGGAGUACGUCGGCAACGAUGAAACUCAAAGGAAUUGACGGGGGCCCGCACAAGCGGAGGAACAUGUGGUUUAAUUCGAUGAUACGCGAGGAACCUUACCCGGGCUCGAACGGCACCUGGAUCACCCAGAGAUGGGCGAGUCUUCGGACAGGUGUCGAGGUGCUGCAUGGUUGUCGUCAGCUCGUGCCGUGAGGUGUCGGCUCAAGUGCCAUAACGAGCGCAACCCCUGCCGCCAGUUGCCAUCAGGUGAUGCUGGGCACUCUGGCGGGACUGCCACCGCAAGGUGUGAGGAGGGGGGGGGAUGACGUCAAAUCAGCACGGCCCUUACGUCCGGGGCGACACACGUGUUACAAUGGCGGCCACAGAGGGAAGCUACCCCGCGAGGGGAUGCGGAUCUCGAAAAGCCGUCCCAGUUCGGACUGGAGUCUGCAACCCGACUCCACGAAGUUGGAUUCGCUAGUAAUCGCGCAUCAGCCAUGGCGCGGUGAAUACGUUCCC